rnacentral:snRNA from 1 species
GUGCUUCAUCACCACAUGUAUUAAAAUUGGAAUGAUACAGAGAAGAUUAGCAUGGUUACUGUGGAAGGAUAACACUCAAAUUCUGAAGCAUUCCAUAUUUUA